rnacentral:ribozyme from 14 species
AAAUAAGAGUGAUGAAGAGAAAGGCCACGAGAAAAGUAAUAGUGGUGGCCAUUUUGUUCUUGGUAUCUUGUUUUUUUUUUUUUUUUUUUUUUUUUU